rnacentral:rRNA from 1 species
GUAAGCGCCGAGGAUGGGCUCGGCGGAUUAGGUAGUUGUGGGUAACGGCCCACCAAGCCUACGAUCCGUACGGGCCCUGAGAGGGGGAGCCCGGAGAUGGACAUGAGACAGGGUCCAGCCUACGGGCGCAGCAGGCGCGAAACUCGCAUGCGGAAAGCGCGACGGGGGACCCCGAGUGCCUSCUCUGGGAGGCUUUCGGAGUGUAAACAGCUCCGGGAAUAAGGCUGGGCAAGUCCGGUGCCAGCAGCCGCGGUAUACCGGCGGCCCAAGUGGUGGCCACUGUUAUGGGCCUAAAGCGUCCGUAGCCGGCCCGGUAAGUCUCUGCUUAAAUCCCGCGGCUUAACCGCGGGGCUGGCAGAGAUACUGCCGGGCUUGGGACCGGGAGAGGCCGGGGGUACCCCAGGGGUAGCGGUGAAAUGCGUUGAUCCCUGGGGGACCACCUGUGGCGAAGGCGCCCGGCUGGAACGGGUCCGACGGUGAGGGACGAAGGCCGGGGGAGCAAACCGGAUUAGAUACCCGGGUAGUCCCGGCUGUAAACUCUGCGGACUAGGUGUCGCGUGCCCUUCGGGGGCACGCGGUGCCGAAGGGAAGCCGUUAAGUCCGCCGCCUGGGGAGUACGGUCGCAAGACUGAAACUUAAAGGAAUUGGCGGGGGAGCACUACAACGGGUGGAGCCUGCGGUUUAAUUGGAUUCAACGCCGGGAAUCUCACCAGGGGCGACGGCAGGAUGAAGGCCAGGUUGACGACCUUGCCAGACGCGCCGAGAGGUGGUGCAUGGCCGUCGUCAGCUCGUACCGUGAGGCGUCCUGUUAAGUCAGGUAACGAGCGAGACCCGUGCCCCAUGUUGCCAUCCUCCCCUCCGGGGGAGGGGCACUCAUGGGGGACCGCCUCCGCUAAGGAGGAGGAAGGUGCGGGCAACGACAGGUCCGCAUGCCCCGAAUCCCCUGGGCUACACGCGGGCUACAAUGGCCGGGACAAUGGGAUGCGACCCCGAAAGGGGGAGCAAAUCCCCUAAACCCGGUCGUAGUCCGGAUCGAGGGCUGUAACUCGCCCUCGUGAAGCCGGAAUCCGUAGUAAUCGCGCCUCACCAUGGCGCGGUGAAUGCGUCCCUGCUCCUUGCACACACCGCCCGUCACGCCACCCGAGUCGAGCCCAGGUGAGGCCCCGUCCGCAAGGGCGGGGUCGAAC